rnacentral:misc_RNA from 1 species
UUUCCGUAGGUGAACCUGCGGAAGGAUCAUUAAAGAGUUCUUGCUCUCACGGGUAGAAAUCCCAUACUCGACUAUUUAUACCUUAGGUGCUUUGGCAGGCCGAGGAAACACCAUGGGCUCCGGAUUAUGCGUGUCUGCUAAUGGAAACAAUUUCUGAUAUAAGUGACGUCUGAGUACUAUAUAAUAGUUAAAAUUUUCAACAACAGAUCUCCUGGUCAUGGCAUCGGUGAAGAACGCAGGAGAUAGGAAGAGUAAACGAUUGAACUCCCGUAUACAGUC